GAUGAACGCUAGCGAUAGGCUUAACACAUGCAAGUCGAGGGGCAGCACAAUGUAGCUUGCUUUCUGGGUGGCGACCGUCGCACGGGUGCGUAACGCGUAUGCAACUUUCCCUAUACAGGAGGAUAACCCGUCGAAAGACGGACUAAUUCUCCGUAUGCUCACACCUUUGCAUCCAGUGGUUAUUCAAGCCAUUCGGUAUAUGAUAGGCCUGCGUCCCAUUAGCUUGUUGGUGAGGUAACGGCUCACCAAGGCAACGAUGGGUAGGGGAACUGAGAGGUUUAUCCCCCACACUGGUACUGAGACACGGACCAGACUCCUACGGGAGGCAGCAGUGAGGAAUAUUGGUCAAGGGGCGCGAGCCUGAACCAGCCAAGUCGCGUGAAGGAUGACUGUCUUAUGGAUUGUAAACUUCUUUUAUACGGGAAUAACAAGAGUCACGUGUGACUACCUGAAUGUACCGUAUGAAUAAGCAUCGGCUAACUCCGUG
rnacentral:rRNA from 1 species